rnacentral:rRNA from 1 species
UACAGAGGUCUCAAGCGUUGUUCGGAUUCAUUGGGCGUAAAGGGUGCGUAGGCGGCGCGGUAAGUCGGAUGUGAAAUCUCGGAGCUUAACUUCGAAACUGCAUUCGAUACUGCCGUGCUUGAGGACUGGAGAGGAGACUGGAAUUUACGGUGUAGCGGUGAAAUGCGUAGAUAUUAGGAGGAACACCGGUGGCGAAGGCGGGUCUCUGGGCCAUAACUGACGCUGAGGAGCGAAAGCGUGGGGAGCGAACAGG